GAUGAAGAACGUAGCGAAAUGCGAUAAGUAAUGUGAAUUGCAGAAUUCCGUGAAUCAUCGAAUCUUUGAACGCACAUUGCGCCCUCUGGUAUUCCGGGGGGCAUGCCUGUCCGAGCGUCAUUGCAACCCUCAAGCGCGGCUUGUGUGUUGGGUCUUCGUCCCCCGUGGACGUGCCCGAAAUGCAGUGGCGGCGUCGUGUUCCGGUGCCCGAGCGUAUGGGGCUUUGUCACCCGCUCUUGGAGGCCCGGCCGGCGCUUGCCCAUCGACCAUCGAGGACUCGUUCCUCAACCAGGUUGACCUCGGAUCAGGUAGGGAUACCCGCUGAACUUAAGCAUAUCAAUAAGCGGAGGA
rnacentral:misc_RNA from 1 species